GGUCCUAAAGAACCAGACACUCCCUCUUGGAGGGGUACGGCUUCACACUAGGGAGAGGCAGGAUUAUGCUACUGCUAGCAUGAAAUGCUCUAGGCUUUCUAGGGCUCUCAAUCCCUUCUACCAUGCCAAUAAUUCCCCUUAGCAUAACUUUUCAACUAGUUGAGGAUAACCCCUAGUCAUUACAGCAGGAGAUAUUGAUAUCGAAUAGCUA
rnacentral:lncRNA from 1 species